AUUGAACGCUGGCGGCAGGCCUAACACAUGCAAGUCGAGCGCGCGGCGGACGGGUGAGUAAUAUCUGGGAAACUGCCCGAUGGAGGGGGACAACUACUGGAAACGGUAGCUAAUACCGCAUACCAUCAGAUGUGCCCCGAUGGGAUUAGCUCGUAGGUGGGGUAAUGGCUCACCUAGGCGACGAUCCCUAGCUGGUCUGAGAGGAUGACCAGCAACACUGGAACUGAGACACGGUCCAGAAUCCGACGGGAGGCAGCAGUGGGGAAUAUUGCACAAUGGGCGCAAGCCUGAUGCAGCCAUGCCGCGUGUAUGAAGAAGGCCUUCGGGUUGGAAAGUACUUUCAGCGAGGAGGCGGUACUCGAAGAAGAAGCACCGGCUAACUACGUGCCAGCAGCCGCGGUAAUAC
rnacentral:rRNA from 1 species